rnacentral:rRNA from 1 species
UACGUAGGGGGCAAGCGUUAUCCGGAUUUACUGGGUGUAAAGGGAGCGUAGACGGCCAGACAAGUCUGAAGUGAAAAUCCAGCGCUUAACGCUGGAAGUGCUUUGGAAACUGCCGGGCUGGAGUGCAGGAGGGGCAGGCGGAAUUCCUGGUGUAGCGGUGAAAUGCGUAGAUAUCAGGAGGAACACCGGUGGCGAAAGCGGCUCUCUGGCCUGUAACUGACACUGAGGCUCGAAAGCGUGGGGAGCAAACAGG